AACCUCUCCAGUGCCCUAGUGGUUAGAGCAUCCGCCUCGGAUGCGGGAGAUCAACGGUUCGAACCCCGGCUGAGUCA